GGUUUCUUGAUUAUAUUUAAGAGAUCUAACCUGCCCACUGAAAUAUUUAAAGGGCCGCAGUAUUUUGACUGUGCAAAGGUAGCAUAAUCAUUAGUCUUUUAAUUGAAGGCUGGUAUGAAUGGUUGGAUGAGGUAAAUUCUGUUUUAUAUUAAUUAUAAUUGAAUUUAGAUUUUAAGUAAAAAAACUUAAAUAUUAUUAAGGGACGAGAAGACCCUAUAGAGUUUAAUAAGUGUAUUAAUUAAUUAAGUUAUUUAAAAAUUUUGUUAUUAUUAUGAGAUUUAUUUGGUUGGGGUGAUUAAAAGAUAUAAAAAACUCUUUUUUAAGUUAAAUAUUAUAAUUAAUUUAAUGAUCCAUGAUUUAUGAUUAAAAGAUUUAAUUACCUUAGGGAUAACAGCAUAAUUUCUUUUGAGAGUUCAUAUCGAAAAGGAAGAUUGUGACCUCGAUGUUGGAUUAAGAGUAAUUUUAGGUGUAGAAGUUUAAAAAUUAGGUCUGUUCGACCUUUAAAAUCUUACA
rnacentral:rRNA from 1 species